GGAGAGGCAGUGAAGAUCUUCCCUCAGAGCCUGGCGAGGGGGCGCGGCCCAGCCAGGAGAGCUGGAGAGGCCCGGAGGAUCUUCCCUCAGAGCCUAGCGAGGGAGCGCGGCCCAGCCAGGAGAGCUGGAGAGGCAGCCAGGAUCUUCCCUCAGAGCCUGGCGAGUGAGGGCGGCCCAGCCAGGAGAGCUGGAGAGGCAGCGAGGAUGUUCCCUCAGAGCCUGGCGUGAAGAUCUUCCCUCAGAGCCUGGGGAGGGGGCGGGGCCCAGCCAGGAGAGCUGGAGAGGCAGCCAGGAUCUUCCCUCAGAGCCUGGCGAGGGGGCGCGGCCCAGCCAGGAGAGCUGGAGAGGCAGCGAGGAUCUUCCCUCAGAGCCUAUCUAGGGGGCGCGGCCCAGCCAGGAGAGCUGGAGAGGCAGCGAAGAUCUUCCGUUAGAGCCCAGCGAGGGGGUGUGGCCCAGCCAGGAGGGCUGGAGAGGCAGCGAGGAUCUUCCCUAAGAGCGUGGCGAGGGGGCGUGGCCCAGCCAGGAGAGCUGGAGAGGCAGCGAGGAUCUUCCCUCAGAGCCUGGCGAGGGGGCGCGGCCCAGCCAGGAGAGCUGGAGAGGCAGCGAAGAUCUUCCGUUAGAGCCCAGCGAGGGGGCGUGGCCCAGCCAGGAGGGCUGGAGUGGCAGCCAGGAUCUUCCCUCAGAGCCUGGCGAGGGGGCGGGGCCCAGCCAGGAGAGCUGGAGAGGCAGCCAGGAUCUUCCCUUAGAGCCCGGCGAGCGGGCGCGGCCCUGCCUACACCCCGACUUCAUCCCAGUGAGGAGGACGUCGGACUUCUGGCCUCCAGAGCUGUGAGAAAAUACAUUUGAGAUGUUCAAGCUGCCCAAUGUCUGGUCAUUUGUUACAAAAGAUAUGGAAAAUCAACGCACCAGUAACUGGAGAAAAUUGAUCACGACUGAAAGGCAGUGGGCAAAACGUACUGUUGUAGGUCAGCCCAGACCAGAAACUAGUGACCUCACCAUCACCACCACCACCGACAACGACAUCACAGCCCCGACCUCUCACCAUCACCACCACCAAUGACAAUGACAUCACAGCCCCGACCUCACCAUCACCACCACCAAUGACGAUGCUACAGCCCCGACCUCACCAUCACCACCACCAAUGACAAUGACAUCACAGCCCUGACCUCACCAUCACUACCACCAAUGACAACGACAUCACAGCCCCAAC
rnacentral:lncRNA from 10 species